UACUUCUAGACACAGCUGCCCACUUC
rnacentral:piRNA from 1 species